UCUGAUGUGAAAGCCCACGGCUCAACCGUGGAGGGUCAUUGGAAACUGGGGAACUUGAAGACAGAAGAGGAGAGCGGAAUUCCACGUGUAGCGGUGAAAUGCGUAGAGAUGUGGAGGAACACCAGUGGCGAAGGCGGCUCUCUGGUCUGUGCUUGACGCUGAGGCGCGAAAGCGUGGGGAGCGAACAGGAUUAGAUACCCUGGUAGUCCACGCCGUAAACGAUGAGUGCUAGGUGUUAGGGGUUUCCACCCUUAGUGCUGCAGUUAACGCAAUAAGCACUCCGCCUGGGGAGUACGGCCGCAAGGCUGAAACUCAAAGGAAUUGACGGGGGCCCGCACAAGCGGUGGAGCAUGUGGUUUAAUUCGAAGCAACGCGAAGAACCUUACCAGGUCUUGACAUCCUCGGACCACCCUAGAGAUAGGGUCUUCCCUUCGGGGACCGAGUGACAGGUGGUGCAUGGUUGUCGUCAGCUCGUGUCGUGAGAUGUUGGGUUAAGUCCCGCAACGAGCGCAACCCUUGACCUUAGUUGCCAGCAUUUAGUUGGGCACUCUAAGGUGACUGCCGGUGACAAACCGGAGGAAGGUGGGGAUGACGUCAAAUCAUCAUGCCCCUUAUGACCUGGGCAACACACGUGCUACAAUGGAUGGUACAAAGGGCAGCAAAACCGCGAGGUCGAGCAAAUCCCAUAAAGCCAUUCUCAGUUCGGAUUGUAGGCUGCAACUCGCCUGCAUGAAGCCGGAAUCGCUAGUAAUCGUGGAUCAGCAUGCCACGGUGAAUACGUUCCCGGGCCUUGUACACACCGCCCGUCACACCACGAGAGUUGGUAACA
rnacentral:rRNA from 1 species